rnacentral:rRNA from 1 species
GUGGGGAAUCUUCCGCAAUGGACGAAAGUCUGACGGAGCAACGCCGCGUGAGUGAUGAAGGUCUUCGGAUUGUAAAGCUCUGUUAAUCGGGACGAAAGAGCCUAGUGUGAAUAAUGCUAGGAAGUGACGGUACCGGAAUAGAAAGCCACGGCUAACUACGUGCCAGCAGCCGCGGUAAUACGUAGGUGGCAAGCGUUGUCCGGAAUUAUUGGGCGUAAAGCGCGCGCAGGCGGAUCUGCCAGUCUGUCUUAAAAGUUCGGGGCUUAACACCGGGAUGGGAUGGAAACUACAGAUCUAGAGUAUCGGAGAGGAAAGUGGAAUUCCUAGUGUAGCGGUGAAAUGCGUAGAUAUUAGGAAGAACACCAGUGGCGAAGGCGACUUUCUGGACGAAAACUGACGCUGAGGCGCGAAAGCCAGGGGAGCGAACGGGAUUAGAAACCCUAGUAGUCC